GUUUGUUCGCGUUGCUUGAAAUUCCCAAAAAGUUCUGCACUGAAAACGAGAUAAAUAUAUAUUCGGAUGUUGAAGAGAGUGAAAGCAAAGAUGCUGAGUGCAAAAAAUUCAAGCAACGCGAGCAAACUUAAUAUCGGGUGCACCUGGGUGGGAAAUCGGAACACAAAACACAACCUGAACAUGAACUGUAGAUUUCCAGUACUGGCAGUGAAUUUUGGAACACAGCCGAUAUUAAUCUAACCUAACCUAACCUAAUUCUAGCUGAGUUUAACUUAACCUAAUCGUAUUUCUAUUCUGAACGUAAUGAGAAAGUUGGAUUUCAAACUGAAUACCGUUUUCUUUAAAAUUCGUGUAAAAUUCAACGGUUUGAUUAAAAGAAUGAUAACAUACAGGUCAACAUACUAUUAACAUAAGGCCAAUGAAUUCGAACUGAACGUAUAUAUAAUACGAAUCGCAAAAAAUUGCUCACAUGAAGAGAAUUAAAAUCCUAACCUUGUAUUACACGAGCAUGAUGAAACGACGUCUUCCCGCGAUUGUCGCAUGAGAGAUAAACUAUUACGAAAGGAAUUUGGAUGAAAUGCGAAUGUAGGCAUAUCCUUUUGCGCUCAAGAUAAUUGAAAAUGUUUCGAAGUCGAAGCUGGUUCGGUGGCGGACUUUGGAAGCCUAAAAAUCCCCAUUCCCCGGAGCAUCUCAAGUAUUUGUAUAAUGUGCUGUCAAAAAAUCAGACUGUGUCUGAAAACAACAGAGGUUUACUGGUUGAAACUCUGCGUUCGAUAGCUGAAAUUCUCAUAUGGGGUGAUCAAAAUGAUAGCAGUGUAUUCGA